rnacentral:rRNA from 1 species
GAUGAACGCUGGCGGCGUGCUUAACACAUGCAAGUCGAACGAAGCACCUUGAUUCGAUUCUUCGGAUGAAGAUCUUGGUGACUGAGUGGCGGACGGGUGAGUAACGCGUGGGUAACCUGCCUCAUACAGGGGGAUAACAGUUAGAAAUGACUGCUAAUACCGCAUAAGACCACAGCACCGCAUGGUGCAGGGGUAAAAACUCCGGUGGUAUGAGAUGGACCCGCGUCUGAUUAGGUAGUUGGUGGGGUAACGGCCUACCAAGCCGACGAUCAGUAGCCGAACUGAGAGGGUGACCGGCCACAUUGGGACUGAGACACGGCCCAAACUCCUACGGGAGGCAGCAGUGGGGAAUAUUGCACAAUGGGGGAAACCCUGAUGCAGCGACGCCGCGUGAGCGAUGAAGUAUUUCGGUAUGUAAAGCUCUAUCAGCAGGGAAGAAAAUGACGGUACCUGACGAAGAAGCACCGGCUAAAUACGUG